CACUAUGCCUAGCCAUAAACAUUGACAGUAUUUUACACCCACUGUCCGCCUGGGAACUACGAGCACAAGCUUAAAACCCAAAGGACUUGGCGGUGCUUUAGACCCCCCUAGAGGAGCCUGUUCUAGAACCGAUAAUCCCCGUUCAACCUCACCCUUUCUUGUUCAUCCCGCCUAUAUACCACCGUCGUCAGCUUACCCUCCUGAGGGUUCAAUAGUAAGCACAAUUGGCACAGCCCAAAACGUCAGGUCGAGGUGUAGCGUAUGAAAGGGGAAGAAAUGGGCUACAUUCACCCUUUAACGGUGUAUUACGAAAGAUGCAAUUGAAAUAUUCAUCGGAAGGAGGAUUUAGCAGUAAGUAGAAAGUAGAGCGUUCUGCUGAAACCGGCCCUGAAGCGCGCACACACCGCCCGUCACUCUCCCCGAGCUUUCAAAUUUGCCCUAAAUAAAAUGAUAUCCACCGCUAAGGGGAGGCAAGUCGUAA
rnacentral:rRNA from 1 species